rnacentral:rRNA from 1 species
GGCUUACCAAGGCGAUGAUGCAUAGCCCGAGUUGAGAGACUGAUCGGGCCACAUGGGGGACUGAGACACGGGGCCCAAACUCCUACGGGGGGAGGGGCAGCAGUAGGGGGAAUCUUCCACAAUGGACGCAAGUCUGAUGGAGCAACGCCGCGUGAGUGAAGAAGGUUUUCGGAUCGUAAAGCUCUGUUGUUGGUGAAGAAGGAUAGAGGUAGUAACUGGCCUUUAUUUGACGGUAAUCAACCAGAAAGUCACGGCUAACUACGUGCCAGCAGCCGCGGUAAU